AUACAUGUAAGUAUUACAUCAAUACCAAAGUAAAUCGUCUAACAUUUUUAUAAUUUCAAGUGACAACGAAAUGGAACGUUUCUUUUCGCCAAUUUAUACCACAAUCCACACCAACACCAACCAACCUACUAUCUCAACCCACAUCGAAGAGAAUGUGUGUCCUGAAGUGUCUUGGCUACCAUUCUCUUCAUAGAUGCCCGCAGGACGAUGCAAGUUUUCGUGUUUCCCUGCUCAUUUUUUUCCCUUGGUAGACGGUACAGGAUAGUAAAUAAGGCCUAGUAAUAGUUACAUUAAGUCUUUUAUUAUUUCACUUAAGCAUAGUUUAAUAGUUUUAAUACAAAAAAUCAAUGUAAAAUAAUUUAAGAAAUUAAGUUCCUAAUUUUUAAGACUUUAAGGCUUAAUGAUUUCUACAAAAAGGAGUGAUGAGCCACAAUAAUUUUAAAGUACUUUUAAGAAACAAAAAAAAAGCCUUUUGCUUAAUAAAUCGGGUUUAAGUAACAUUUAAAAUUUAAAUUCAUA